rnacentral:tRNA from 1 species
CGGUAAAAUGGCUGAAAUAUUAGGCGAUAAAUUGUAAAUUUAUUUAUAGGGGUACCUUUUUACC